GCCUCUUUUGAGGAAAAACUUCAGAAAACAGAGCAGAAGUUCGAAGAAACAGAGAAAGCUAGGGAAGAAUUACUCAAUAAAGCCACAGAUGCAGAGUCAAAGAUAAAUGAACUGAAGAACACAAUGCAAAGCCUUCAAGAAAAGCUGACUAAUACGGAAGCAGAAAACCAUGUUCUUCGGCAGCAGGCUAUGAAAUCAAGACCUGAUAAUAUGCCUUUGCUUAACAUGCAUCGGAAAUCAAAUUUGGCUAACGGAAGCGUACAAUCUGAUGAACA